rnacentral:tRNA from 1 species
AGCAGUGUGGCUCAAUGGAGAGAGCCCGGACUGGGGAGUCGGAGGUCAUGGGUUCUAAUCCCACCUCCGCCG